AUCAUGUACUGUUGGCCUUUGU
rnacentral:piRNA from 1 species